rnacentral:lncRNA from 1 species
CCAACCAAAACGCAUCAAACAUACACAUACUACCCACAUUGCUCAUAAACACAACAUAAACCAAAAACUCAACAUAAACCUAAUCAUGCAUUUCUACCCCAUAAAUCUUCAUAAAACAUGUUUAAAACAUGCAAGGAAGGUCGGAUCUAAGCUUACCUCUUGAAGAUCGAGAGGAAAGACGAUCCAACUCGGAGAUGGGGGAGAUCUCGCUCCUUGGGUCUCCAAGCUUCAAAACUUGCUCUUUUGCUCAAAUAUCUUCAAACCAAGUGAAAACUCAUAAGAAAAUCA